GGUCUUACAUGCAGUCGAGCGGUAGGCCCUUCGGGGUACACGAGCGGCGAACGGGUGAGUAACACGUGAGCAACCUGCCCCUGACUCUGGGAUAAGCGGUGGAAACGCCGUCUAAUACCGGAUACGACCCGGCGCCUCAUGGCGGUGGGUGGAAAGUUUUUCGGUCGGGGAUGGGCUCGCGGCCUAUCAGCUUGUUGGUGGGGUAACGGCCUACCAAGGCGAUUACGGGUAGCCGGCCUGAGAGGGCGACCGGCCACACUGGGACUGAGACACGGCCCAGACUCCUGCGGGAGGCAGCAGUGGGGAAUAUUGCGCAAUGGGCGAAAGCCUGACGCAGCGACGCCGCGUGGGGGAUGACGGCCUUCGGGUUGUAAACCUCUUUUACCACCAACGCAGGCUUCCAGUUCUCUGGGGGUUGACGGUAGGUGGGGAAUAAGGACCGGCUAACUACGUGCCAGCAGCCGCGGUAAUACGUAGGGUCCGAGCGUUGUCCGGAAUUAUUGGGCGUAAAGAGCUCGUAGGCGGCGUGUCGCGUCUGCUGUGAAAGACCGGGGCUUAACUCCGGUUCUGCAGUGGAUACGGGCAUGCUAGAGGUAGGUAGGGGAGACUGGAAUUCCUGGUGUAGCGGUGAAAUGCGCAGAUAUCAGGAGGAACACCGGUGGCGAAGGCGGGUCUCUGGGCCUUACCUGACGCUGAGGAGCGAAAGCAUGGGGAGCGAACAGGAUUAGAUACCCUGGUAGUCCAUGCCGUAAACGUUGGGCGCUAGGUGUGGGGACUUUCCACGGUUUCCGCGCCGUAGCUAACGCAUUAAGCGCCCCGCCUGGGGAGUACGGCCGCAAGGCUAAAACUCAAAGGAAUUGACGGGGGCCCGCACAAGCGGCGGGAGCAUGUUGCUUAAUUCGACGCAACGCGAAGAACCUUACCAAAGGUUUGACAUCACCCGUGGACCUGCAGAGAUGUGGGGGUCAUUUAGUUGGGCGGGUGACAGUGGUGCAUGGCUGUCGUCAGCUCGUGUCGUGAGAUGUUGGGUUUAAGUCCCGCAACGAGCGCAACCCUUGUUCCAUGUUGCCCAGCC
rnacentral:rRNA from 1 species